UUGACGGAGAGUUUGAUCCUGGCUCAGGACGAACGCUGGCGGCGGGCUUAACACAUGCAAGUCGAACGAGGUCCAUCUUGUAGCAAUACAAGUGAAGACCUAGUGGCGAACGGGUGAGGAACACGUGAGAAAUUUGCCCCGAACUUUGGGAUAACAGUUGGAAACGACUGCUAAUACCGAAUGCCGUUACGAAGUGGCAUCACUAUGUAACGAAAGAAUUUCGGUUCGGGAGAAUCUCGCGGCCUAUCAGCUUGUUGGUGAGGUAACGGCUCACCAAGGCUACGACGGGUAGCUGGUCUGAGAGGAUGAUCAGCCACACUGGGACUGAGACACGGC
rnacentral:rRNA from 1 species